UGAACUUCACUAAAUUUGAGUAUUUUCUUUCCCCUCUGCUUACUGCUCACAUAACCUAAAGAGUCAUCGCCUACUUCAGAUCACAGAUCAAGGCUUUAUGGAACACAGUGCCGAUCAGCAACUUUCCACCAUAGGUGGUUGCUACAGAGGAGCCGAUGAGCACCUGACCAUCGUCUUCAUACACCUGAGUCACCUGCGGCUUA